rnacentral:rRNA from 1 species
GUGGGGAAUAUUGGACAAUGGGCGAAAGCCUGAUCCAGCCAUGCCGCGUGUGUGAAGAAGGUCUUCGGAUUGUAAAGCACUUUAAGUUGGGAGGAAGGGCAGUAAGUUAAUACCUUGCUGUUUUGACGUUACCGACAGAAUAAGCACCGGCUAACUUCGUGCCAGCAGCCGCGGUAAUACGAAGGGUGCAAGCGUUAAUCGGAAUUACUGGGCGUAAAGCGCGCGUAGGUGGUUUUGUAAGUUGGAGGUGAAAUCCCCGGGCUCAACCUGGGAACUGCCUCCAAAACUGCAUGGCUAGAGUACGGUAGAGGGAAGUGGAAUUUCCUGUGUAGCGGUGAAAUGCGUAGGUAUAGGAAGGAACACCAGUGGCGAAGGCGACUACCUGGACUGAUACUGACACUGAGGUGCGAAAGCGUGGGGAGCAAACAGGAUUAGAUACCCUUGUAGUCC